AUUUUUCGGGUCGGAGGUUCAAGCAAGUUUGAUGGAA
rnacentral:tRNA from 1 species